UACGAAGGGGACUAGCGUUGUUCGGAAUUACUGGGCGUAAAGCGUGCGCAGGCGGUUUUGUAAGUCAGAUGUGAAAUCCCCGGGCUUAACCUGGGAACUGCGUUUGAAACUACAAGGCUAGAGUGUGACAGAGGGGGGUGGAAUUCCACGUGUAGCAGUGAAAUGCGUAGAGAUGUGGAGGAACACCGAUGGCGAAGGCAGCCCCCUGGGUUAACACUGACGCUCAGGCACGAAAGCGUGGGGAGCAAACAGG
rnacentral:rRNA from 1 species